rnacentral:rRNA from 1 species
UACGGAAGGCAGCAGUGGGGAAUAUUGGACAAUGGGCGAAAGCCUGAUCCAGCCAUGCCGCAUGAGUGAAGAAGGCCUUCCGGGUUGUAAAGCUCUUUUAGUGAGAAAGAAUAAUGACGGUACUCACAGAAGAAGUCCUGGCUAACUCCGUGCCAGCAGCCGCGGUAAUACGGAGAGGGCUAGCGUUAUUCGGAAUUAUUGGGCGUAAAGAGCGCGUAGGCUGAUUUAGUAAGUUAAAAGUGAAAUCCCAAAGCUUAACUUUGGAAUUGCUUCUAAAACUGCUAGUCUAGAGAUUGAAAGAGGAUAGAGGAAUUCCUAGUGUAGAGGUGAAAUUACGUAAAUAUUAGGAGGAACACCAGUGGCGAAGGCGUCUAUCUGGUUCAAAUCUGACGCUGAGGGCGCGAAGGCGUGGGGAGCAAACGAGGAUUAGAUACC